GGGCCCGUAGCUCAGCUGGUUAGAGCAGUUGACUCAUAAUCAACGGGUCCCAGGUUCGAGUCCUGGCGGGCCCA
rnacentral:tRNA from 1 species